UCCUUGUCCUAACCUUUUAUUUCCUCUUCUCCUCAGCACUGGAGAGAUGGUUCCAUGGUUAAUAGUGAGCACUCCCAGAGAUCUUGAAUAGCCUCCUGGUCAGUCCUCCAGAAGCAAUUCACGUAAUUGGUGAACUUGGCUUACACACUGGGAGCUGGCGAUUUCCUCACUGGAGUUUCAAGAUCUCUGGCAGAAGUCUCUUUAAGAAAACAGUUUAAACACUGAAAGAUUCCAGCUUACUUCCUGACUGUCAUUUUGAUAGAAUUCUGCCCUUCACUUGGUCUUAAGUAUGGAAUGUUAUGACAG
rnacentral:lncRNA from 1 species